UAGGGUCUGACUCACUUCACUUAGUAUGAUUUUUUCCAAGUCAAAAUUAAAAAAAUUAAAUUCCUGCAAGACAAAUCCUCAAAAACCAGCAGCCCCCUUAACAAGUGGGCUAAAGACCUAAUAAGAGACUUCUCUGAAGAGGAAAUGAGAAUGGCCAAGAGACACAUGAACAAAUGCUCAACAUCACUAGCCAUAAAGAAAUGCAAAU